rnacentral:rRNA from 1 species
AAAGGGUGUGUAGGCGGGCCUUUAAGUCCGUGGUGAAAUACCAGUGCUUAACACUGGAACUGCCAUGGAUACUAUUGGUCUUGAAUGUUGAUGAGGUGGGCGGAAUGUAUCAUGUAGCGGUGAAAUGCUUAGAUAUGAUACAGAACACCGAUUGCGAAGGCAGCUCACUAAACAACGAUUGACGCUGAGGCACGAAAGCGUGGGGAUCAAACAGGAUUAGAUACCCUUGU